rnacentral:lncRNA from 1 species
GGACAGUACUACAUAGAUGAUAACAUCCCAGAUAUGGGGUCAGGGCGCGCCCGUCUAGCACUUGAUCUCCUUCAGCCCGUGCGCGAAGUAGAGGAAGGUUGGGUCGGUGGCUCCAUCCUUGUAGUAGGCGAACACCAGGCUUCCAUCAUCAUGCAUGCUCUCGCCAACAAAGCUGCAAAAAACCAGACAAACAUUUAGUACGAGCUAUUCACGGAAUUUAGUUGUGAAGCAAAAUGACAGAAAGCAGCAGUACAAAAAUCAGUAAUAGAACAAUAAUGCAGACAGCACAACCUAUCAUUCUAGCUCGAGCAACACGAAUUUAAACACAAUGGCGAAUAAGAACAUAGAAAGCAAACAUCAAAAAUGGAUGCCACACUGCAAAAGAAUAUAGGUACUUACAACUAAUAUAACAUAUUUUUAAUUAACCCAGAGCAGUACAAAAAUUAUUUUUGCACAAGAGUGUAUGAAAAUAUAUUAUAAUUCAAGCUCCAUGCAGAAUCAUAGGUGAGAAUUCAACGAUAGCACAAGCAACUUGAAUCCAAGUAAUAACAAAAGAAAAUUGCACAAGCAACGUGAAUCUAAGUAACAAAAGAAAACUAUGUGAUUAAAUCCACCGAGGUACAGUUUUCAUGAACAGCUACCAGAAUGGUACUUCAGAGAGAAUCACUAGACACUAGAUAUCAAAUAUAUAGCAUGAUUCGGGUAUAGAACUUACAACUGGAGGUCCUUGAGCUUUCCAAGAAGGUACUUGGUGGCACCCUCAAUGCCCUUCUUGAAUUCCGCUUGCUGCUCCGGCUCCAGCUUGGCAGUAAGGUUCUUGAUGUAGCGCUUCAUGAAGGUCACAAACUGCUUCUUGUCAAAGGCAGGUUGCUCCUGCAAAUGUGAUUACAUGGUUAGUACAAACUCAAAGAACAGAAAUAUAACCAGGGCAACAGAACUCCAGAUGAGUUAGCAACCUGAAGACGGAAGGUGUCAACAAUGUCAACAACCUUCACCGCCUGAUCAUCAACACCCUCAUCAUCGCCACCACCCUCGGCAGACGGGUUGGCACCAAUGUCAACAUCUACAGCUCCUUGGACGACCCACUGCGAGCACCCAUCCAGUAUCAUGAUGUAAGUAACAAAUCAAACAAACCAAAACACAGUAAACAUAAUGCAGAAAGCAAAACAAUCUGGGCAGCAUUACUAAUGCAGAUUCAUCCAGAUUGACAACCGUUUGUAAAAUUAGAGCAUCCAGAAUAAGCAGCAGCCCAUAAGGUUUCAACAAUACCAAGCUUACGGGGCGCUCUAAAGCAACCAACACAAGAUCCCUAGCUGCUAAGAGUAUCGGACUACAAGUUUAAAUUUGCCAACAUGUUGUGCCACAGCAAGCAACUAGGAUGCUGCAGAGUUGCCCAGAUCCUAGUACAAAACCAAAAGGUCAUAGGAUAAUAACUCAAACAAGGUACUGCAACAACCAAUUCUGAAUGAGCGCAUCAGAAACAAAAAAAAAUCAAUCUGAUUGAUGAAUUAGCUGCUCCCUCAAGAAACUAGGAGGACCAUAGAACACAUAAUUCACCUAUUCUAAACGAUCGAUUUGCUGUCCCCACAAACUAAACUGCUGCAGCAUCAAACAAUACGGAUCUAAUGGAGCAUCAAACUAAACAAGCUAUACUGCCGCAUCGAAUAAUCCGGAUCUAAAGCUCAGAGCAAAAAACGAAUUCAGCAAGGUGAGUUUGAUAAAGCUAAAAUCUUGUCUACUGCUGGCCGAUGGAUGCCACAGGGCAGCGGGCGUA